rnacentral:rRNA from 1 species
UACGUAGGGGGCAAGCGUUAUCCGGAUUUACUGGAUGUAAAGGGAGCGUAGACGGCGGUGCAAGCCAGAUGUGAAAGCCCGGGGCUCAACCCCGGGACUGCAUUUGGAACUGUGUGACUGGAGUGCAGGAGAGGUAAGCGGAAUUCCUGGUGUAGCGGUGAAAUGCGUAGAUAUUAGGAGGAACACCAGUGGCGAAGGCGGCUCACUGGACUGUAACUGACGUUGAGGCUCGAAAGCGUGGGGAGCAAACAGG